rnacentral:rRNA from 1 species
AGGAUGAACGCUGGCGGCGUGCCUAACACAUGCAAGUCGAACGUCCUGUCUCGCAAGAGGCAGGGAGUGGCGGACGGGUGAGUACCACGUGGGUCAUCUACCGUGAGGUGAGGAAUACCGGCGAGAAAUCGCCGACAAGACCGCAUAGGCUCGAUGCAAGUCGAGCAAAGCUCUUUCGAGAGAGGGAGCGCCACACGAGGAGCCUGCGCCCGAUUAGCUAGCUGGUGGAGUAACGGUUCACCAGGGCGACGAUCGGUAGCUGGUCUGAGAGGACGAUCAGCCACACUGGGAUUGAGAACGGCCCAGACUCCUACGGGGGGCAGCAGUGAGGAAUUUUCGUCAAUGGGGGCAACCCUGAACGAGCAACGCCGCGUGCAGGAAGAAGGUUUUCGGAUCGUAAACUGCUUUUUCUCGGGGAAGAGAACGGACGGUACCCGAGGAAUCAGCCCCGGCUAACUACGCGCCAGCAGCCGCGGU